UUUUGUUCCUAAUUCUUCCUAUGUAAUUGCCUCUAUCACACAUUUCAAGUCCUUUCCGUGGCUGUCUAUAACCACCACAAAAGGAUCUAUCACGCAUCUGUACAGAAAGGGACUGAGGGAGAUUUGGGAAGUCCCAAGGCAGAAACUGAGGAUGAUGAUUCGGUGGAGCUAGAGAAAAGCAAUGUAUUGUUGAUGGGUCCAACUAGCUCGGUUACAAAAGCGUCAGCUCUUUCUUGCCUGUUAUAUGGUGCUUGCUCCUUGGGAGGAGAAAUGAAUUGUGGAUAUGGCCCAAGUACUUUCAAGCUCUUGUAAAUGAAAGCAGCUGCUCCUAAGGCAUCUUCUUCUAAGAAGAAAUCCAAGGAUGGAGAAGAAGAUGGUUCAAAGAAGAGAAAACCAAAGAAGAAAAUGGAUUCUAAUGCACGAAAGAGAGUUAUGUUUGCUUUCAUG